UACGUAGGGACCAAGCGUUGUUCGGAUUUACUGGGCGUAAAGGGCGCGUAGGCGGCUUGUCAAGUCACUUGUGAAAUCUCUGGGCUUAACCCAGAACGGCCAAGUGAAACUGUCAUGCUAGAGUGCAGAAGGGGCAAUCGGAAUUCUUGGUGUAGCGGUGAAAUGCGUAGAUAUCAAGAGGAACACCUGAGGUGAAGACGGGUUGCUGGGCUGACACUGACGCUGAGGCGCGAAAGCCAGGGAAGCAAACGGG
rnacentral:rRNA from 1 species